GAUGGAGAACGUAGCGAAAUGCGAUAAGUAAUGUGAAUUGCAGAAUUCAGUGAAUCAUCGAAUCUUUGAACGCACAUUGCGCCCGCCAGUAUUCUGGCGGGCAUGCCUGUUCGAGCGUCAUUACAACCCUCAGGCCCCCGGGCCUGGCGUUGGGGAUCGGCGGAAGCCCCCUGCGGGCACAACGCCGUCCCCCAAAUACAGUGGCGGUCCCGCCGCAGCUUCCAUUGCGUAGUAGCUAACACCUCGCAACUGGAGAGCGGCGCGGCCACGCCGUAAAACACCCAACUUCUGAAUGUUGACCUCGAAUCAGGUAGGAAUACCCGCUGAACUUAAGCAUAUCAAUAAGCGGAGGA
rnacentral:misc_RNA from 1 species